UCUCUCUCUACACCCACCCGAUGUCCAUCUUUUUCAUCUCCUGCGAUCCAGUCACGCGACGGCUCCAUCUUGCCAAGCCUCAAUCGACCUUCUUACUGGAUUCGAGUGACGCUGCUGCAUCUUCUGAUUUACUUGUGGUUUCUUUCCUCUUCGCGAGUAAGGUAAGCGUCCAAAUCGAGUGACUUUUGCGAGUUCUGACUUUCUAAUUCUGAUUUCGGUAUCCGAUCAUACGUUAAAUCGAUUUUCCGGCAGCUCCUUCGAACGAAUGUGUGCUUCGAUUUAUGUUGUUUUGGUUAAUUUCUUGCGAUUUAGUUUAUUUUGUUUUCUUUAAUUGUUGUUAUCUUGUGGAGAUAUUGGAGAUCUUUAAACGUUGGAUGUAAGAUCUAUGUAAGAACUUUUGUUUAGACUGGGUUUUGAUUGGUUGUUCUUUGAAUCUUUUAUGGGUUUUCUUGAUUUAGAAUGAGGGUUUGCGGUGUUUGAUGCUGACUGGUUUGUUUAUUUGAUCAAUUUUUCUUUCUGUUAUUGGAAUUUGAAAUUGUUGGUGAAGUUGUGGUGUCGUGGUACUGUUUCACUGUGUUGAUUCCUUCAGUUGUGUAUUAUUGAGUAAUUCAUGAGCACUGUGUGUUUGUGUUUUUUUAAAAAUUUGUUUUCUAAAACCUGAUGAUCUUUUGAAAAACUAUAUCUGAUUUUAUUAUUGAUCGUCUUUACCUCAGUCCUGUUUUAUUACCCAGUCAAAAGUAGAAAUUCAGUUAAGUUAAACUUUAAGCUUCAAGCUUUUUUAGGGCAUUUCUAACACAUAUUAUCCGUUUUCAAAGAAGUAGUUGCAUUCUUUAUGACUAUUAUUUGGUUCAUACAGUUAUGGAAUUGUGUAAAUAUAAGGAUUAGUGGUGGAUAAUGAGCAAACCAUUUGUUCUGUUUAAGAAUAACUUUUGUUAAAUAGGUCUUUGAUUAAGCAUAAAUAUUUUACUGCUUAUUGAAAUAGCUCCUCCUUCUUUGUAUUUAAAUUUAUUGCAUUCUUUGUUCAACCCAGCAAAUUUUUAGUUGAUUCAUCUGUUAAUGUCCUUUUUUUCACAAUUGGCACGUGCAUACUGUGAUGUUUAUGUGUUUAUAGAUGUCACGAACAGGAAAAGAAAAGGUUGGCUCAAUUGAAGGUGGUGAUUAUGAUAAGGUUAGAUGGGAUGACAAAUCCACUGCAGUCCUAGUUGAGUUGUGUUAUGAAUUAAUGCAAUCUGUUAAGAGGGUACCCGGUAGUCGGAUCCCUAAGAUAGAAUGGGAGGAUCUCAUUGUAAAAUUUAAUGCAAAGACCAAAUACAGCUGGCCAAAGACAGCUUUGAAAAACAGAUGGGAUGCCCUUCGAAAGGAUUGGACAUUGUGAACGAAAAUUAUGGCUAAGGAUACCGGUACUGGAUGAAAUGCUGAGUUGGGUACAGUUGAUGCAUCAAAUGAGUGGUGGGAGGAAAGAAUUAAGGAGAACAAGGAGUAUGCACGGGUAUUUCAGGAUGCAAUUACAGAUGAAUCAAUACACUUUCCGCAUCCACCGCCAGGAAAAUAUUAUCUAGUAGAUGCGGGAUAUCCUAACAGGAUUGGUUAUCUUGCCCCAUAUAGAGGUGAAAGAUAUCAUUCAUCUCAAUUUGAAUAUGGUCGUAGAGCAUCGGGACCUCAGGAGGUAUUCAACCAUGCACAUUCAUCGCUUCGAAAUGUGAUAGAAAGAACUUUUGGGGUAACAAAGAAUAGGUGGCCGAUGCUGAGAAAUAUGCGGUCAUUCCCGUUCCCAAUUCAAGUGGAAAUUGUGAUAGCGUGCAUGGCACUUCACAAUUUUAUUCGAUUAAGGGUGACAGAUGAUGAGGAGUUCACGGACAUAGAUGAAGAACCAAGUUGUUCAUAUGACGAAGGUCCUAGUGACGCUGCUGCAGCAGGGGAUUCGGAUUUACGUGACGACAAUACAAUGACGCGUGUUCGAGAUCUUAUUGCAAACAAACUUGUCCGUCGGAGGGAGCGUAAUUGAGAUUGUGGGCAUAUGUAAACAAUAUUUGAGAGUUAAA